GUUAUUGGGCCAUUAUGGUGAUUUAUUACUCUUUCUGCUUCCUCUUCUUCAAUUUUCCGUUUCCAACGAAUCAACAUUCACACAUUCAUUACCAAACUUCUGAUUUCCAACUCUACCUCUCCUUCCUUUCAGCACCAACUUCUCCCGUGUUGCUUUUACUCCCCCGCCGCCCGAUUCCACCUUCAUUAAUAUGUGCUUUUACUACUCCUUCCAGGUUUCGUUUGUGUUAGUUUUUUGUUGUUCAAUUCGUCUCUACUUUUGUUUGCAAUCACUGAUUUCGCUCUUAGUAUAAUUCCCAUUAGUAUUUUUUAUUAAGACAUUUAAUGGAAAGGCUUGCAUCCACUUGAAAACAAAAGAACAUUAUCCAUAUUUAUAUAGCUUUAUAUCGAUAGUUUUCUGACUCUCUAGGGUAAGAAUAUGAUGGUCUAUUGCUCUGUUUGGUGGUAAGUCUUUGAGUGUUGCGAAAAUAUCCUUGUACUGUUUCAGCAAGUCUUAGAAUAAUUUUUUUAAAAUAAAAACAAGCCUAUUUGUUAAUGAUAAUGAGUGAGGCUUGAACUAUGGGAGAAUAUAAUCCUAGAUGAAAACUUAGGCAACAAAACAAGAUGGCAACCUAAAUAACGCAAUACAAAGCAUUUCCUUGACGAAACAUCCACAAAAAGCUAAACACAAAGAAAAGUUCAAAAAUCUCUCAACACGAGCCCAUUCGAGUAUAAAAACUUGCAUGACUAAAUUUUCGAGAUGAGAGGAGAAAGUGAAGCGCAAAGUAGAAGCAACCAACUGCCUCAAAACUGUCUUCUUAAUGCCAUCCAAAACCCAGAGGAACUUGAAUAAAUCUUCCAAACAAACAAAAUCUAAUUCCAGAAUUUUUUUUUAAAAAAAAAUCGUCUUUGGCAAGCUAGAAAAACGGAGGCCAAACACAAAAAGCAAGACUUGAAUCAUUGGGAUCCCUUCUUCAUCUCCCGUCUUCACUUGGUCAUUCUCCAAAUCAUCUCCCUCCUCAGUCCUUAGUUUCUAAAUUUUGAAAUUCGAUCAAAAUGCAUUGCUCCUCCUCAUCCCACUCCACUUGCUACAUUCCUAAAAUCACAUCCAUUAUUUACCCAAAUCAGUUGCUAUGAAAUAUGGCUCUAAUCGUUAACUCUGGUAGCCUCUCUUCCACCCUCUUACAAAUACCAGGUCUGUUGACUGUUGUUCCGUCCCAGAUGGUUACCCCAAACCUUGUUUCUUUUUGUGAUUGGUAACGCCAAUUCAUCUGCUAUCUCAUGAGUCUCCCCACUAUCAAUAAGAACUAUUACUCCUCUUCCCUUCACGUCUCCCAUUAGCUUUACUGUUCCUUUUUCCGAAAAUCUGAGGAUGGCCUGCAGGGCAAUUUUGGUGCGCGCCUUCAUUUUUUCUGAAACGAAAACGAAAUCUUCAUUGGUAUAAUGAAAAGAUUGUACAAAAUACAACCAAAUAAUAUGGUGUACAAUCAGUAGGUGUAGGUGCACCACCCAGGCAUCUCAACUAGUUUGACAGCACUCCAUCAUCACAUCUUAGACAAAAUAAAAAGCAAAUCCCUAGUACAAACAUCAUCUGCCUCUCAACUCAAAACAUAGACCAAAACAAAAAGAAUAAAAGACACAGCUAAUAAUCCAUCUGAAUGAAAGACGGCCAAUUGAGACUAAUAUCUUGCAAUGAAUAGUUUUUGAACUCUUUAGAGAAAGAACACCACAAGAAAGAGGAAAUCUUUGUUGACUCCAAACGAACCCGGCCUCAUCUAAGAAGCUUUGUUUUGAAAAAUUAUUUGAUUUCUUUCCAUCCAUAAAUUUGACUACAUUCAUCUACUGGCCUUUAUCGCGCUGAGGAUUUUAGGUGUUGAUUUCAGAAUUGUACUCAUUAGAAUAUGCAUUACAUUAUCUCUAAAUGAACAUCAAAAAGUCUAGCAAACAUUAAAGUGAGCAAAAAGGUUGAACCAACAUGAGGAUGAAUUGGAGCAAUCAGAAAAUAAGUGUUGUGAAGCUACUAUAAAAGCUACUAUAACUGGACUUCCAAAUUGCUUUUUCCAUAUUUUUAUCCAAAGGAGAGGAGAAUUGAAGAUGCUUGACCAAAGAUCUUACUGAGAAAUGCCCAUUUGAUUCCAAGGACCCAGACCUCCUAUCAAGCAUGUGAAGACGUGUUCUUCUGGAGUCGACGCAAAAUGAUGGAAAUACAAAAUUGGGUCAAUUUACCGUUUCAUCAUUGAGAUCAUUACUUAUUCUUUAAUUAAUAUCUAUAAAUCGUGUCUUAUUUCAUAAGAUAUAUUUUAGAUUUGUUACGUUAAUUUACAACAGUCCCCAAAAUAAUAUAACAAGUGUGGACAUUUUGAGAGGAAGAUAGGAUUUUAAGAAUUUUGGUUUUAAUUAUGAGAUUUUUAGAAACGUUUGUUUGUGUGGGUUUGAGGUGUAUCACAAUAUUGUAAUAUUCAAUAAAUGCAUACAAUUUUCAAA